UAUUAACCAAUCACAAGAGGCAGAAAGGUGCUGAUGGUGUUAAAAAGACAAAGACUAGAAAACAGCCUACUGACUGAGGAUUUGAGCACAAAGAGGACACUUCCAUCUGCUCAGAGUGCUCAUACAGUGUGAGGAAGCAGCUUUAAAAUGAGGUGUGCAGUCGGCGCUUUCAUGAUCCUUCUGGUUCUGUGUCAAGGAGAAGCUCUGAGAUGCAACUAUUGUUUCUCAUCAAGCAGUACACUCUGCACCCCCACCAGCAUUCAGACCUGUACAGGAAACAAUAAUGCCUGUGGUGCUGUCAUCCUUACCGGCGCCC